rnacentral:lncRNA from 10 species
UGGACAUUAUAUAUAUAUAAAACAAACAUAAGAAGACUCUAAAAGGUGGAAAUGAGAAGGCAGAACAGCUAGAAUCUCAGGAUCUGAGGAAUGACAUACUAGUGAGUUCCCUGGGCUUUCUUUUUGCCACAUAUAUGCUGGGCUUGGAGCUGAAGAAAGUGACAAUUUGGAAAGACCAACUGGCACAAACAAACAAACAAACAGAAAAAGCCCCAACAACACUUACAACAAAAGCCCUGAUAUCACUAGCCAAAAGACCAAGACAGAGGCAGGCAAGCCUGUCAAGCCUUAGAAAGUAACUGUUCAGUUCUAGGCAAAUACCAUAGCAAUAACUGUGACUCUACUGCCAUUCACACCAGAAAGACCAAGUGGGAGACCUAAACUUUCACCCUCUUGAAGCUGUAACAAGGUGCUCCAACAUCACUCUGCAGUGGUAUCCAAGAAGACCAAUUAGGAAGCUAAGAAUUUCAUUUCUGCAAGCCAGUAAUGGGGCCCCCUCUCUAAGAUGUCAAUGGAGAUGGGGGCGGGGGGAGAACACCUGCCCAGAAAUAAUGAAAAUGGCUAAAAGAAGUUAUCUAAACAGAAUGGAAAUGAUAAAAUAGGAACCUUGGAACAUCAAGGAAGAAGAUAGAACAAGAAGAUGGCAACUCUCUCUAUAAGCCAGGAAGAGCCCUUACCAGAAGCUGACCAUGCUGGCGCCUUGAUCUCAGACUUCCAACCUCCAGAACUGUGAGAGAAUAUAUUUCUGUUGUUUAAGCCACCUAGUUUUAUUUUGUUAUGGCACCCCAAGCUAAUACAUAUAUCAAUAAUUACAUUAUUCCUAAUACAAAGAAAUGAUAAAUUCUUGAGGUGGUAGAUGCCCCAAUUACUCUGAUUUGGUCAUUGCACAUUGUAUGCCUGUAACUAACAUCACAUGUACCUCACUAAUAUAUACAACGGUUGUGUACCCAUAAUAAUUAAACAUAAAAAUUAAGAAAAAAAAUUACACUAAAUGCAAAUGAUCUAAAUACCUCAAUUAAGAAACCCAGUUCAGGCCAGGCAUGGUGGCUUACACCUGUAAACCCAGCACUCUACAAAAAAAAACAAACAAACAAAAAACAAAAACAAAAACAAAAAAAAACCCAGUUCAAAUAUAACAAUAUAGGCCAGGCUCAGUGGCUCUCAGCACUUUGGGAGGCUAAGCCAGGUGGAUAAUUUGAGGUAGGUCAGGAGUUCGA